rnacentral:lncRNA from 1 species
UGGCUGGGAUCAACAACAUCGAAGCAGAGGGACCUUAAAAUCUGUCACCUUGUUCAGUAUAGACAGGUUUUAUUACCCCCAGAUGAAAACAGGGAAAGUACAAUUUCUCCCACGUCUUAUACCACUAGCAAAUGGUGACACUAAGACCUAAAAACAAAACUUUCUUGUUCUUAGAAUUAAAAAUCUCAGUAUGAUGAAAAGUUUGUAUUUGUCUUUGUGACUUCUACUCCACAUCUUAGCAUCACAAGCCACUUCUACCCUGGCUCCCAUACUUACACCCACUUCACCCCUGCCUCCACUCAGGGUUCACCACAGCACCUUGUUAGCAGAUGAUGUGUUUCAGAUGCAUACACCCACACUGGCCUCUGAAAUUUAACAUGCAGAAAGACCAGGUAUGAGAAAUGCAAUCUGGGAAAAAACACCUAAGGCAAGCAGCAUAUAAAAUAAUUCAAUAGAGAGCAGAGAAAAAUCAACUGAAGAACAGAGAAAAUAUGAUUAAAAUGAAGAAAAAUGAAGAAAAAACUCUCCUUCUACAUUCUGCAUGUUAUAUCUGGAAAUUUUUAAAUUGCAGGCAUAGCUAUAUGCGUAAAUUGUAGGUGGCAAAUUACUACCCUGAGGGCUGCAUAUUUUAAUAAUGUAAAAGUGAAGCAGGCAACUAUUUUCUUUCCUUUGGGCAGGAUGACAGAGGUGACUCUGGUUGGAUGCUGGGCAAGGCUCUAAUACAAAGACUUGGAUGGAAAGGCAAGAGGUCCAACCAAAGACCAAACCACUCAUCAACAUGAAGGGACAAGAAACUGUGGUCCAGGCUUGAGGCAUAAAGCCAGGGACCAGAGAGACAGGAUCAGAGAAACAGCAAAGCAUAAGGUCUUUGGAAUGUUAUCCUGGGAAAACACCUAACACAUAGGUUAUACUUGAAAAUGAUUCCUUGCUGCUCAAUUAGCAGGCUGCAUAUGUCAGGAGGAUAACAGACUAUGGCAGACUGAAGAUAUGUAUCUUGCAACAUCAAGAAAUCCUGAAUGCCCUUUGCUUUAGUUAUCCUACGUGAGUCUACUCAUUUAUUCAUUAGAUACAGCAACCAAAAACACCCUCUCUAUGGAUUUUGUAUUCCAGUCAGGGGAAUCAAACUCUUCACAUAAUAAAUAUGCAUAUUAUAUUGUGAGAGGUGAUGAGUUCCUCAGAAAACAAGUAACAGGGCAAGGUGGUCCAUAAGAGUUAAUUACUGGAUAAUCUUCACUGAGACAAGGUGACAUUUAAAAAACUCUUGAGGCAAGUAAAGAUAUGAGCUAAACGGUAGAGUCUGAGAUGAAGUCCUGUGUGCUGUGUCUGAAGAAUAGUAAAGAGGCAAGCACAUCUCAAUUGGAUUGAAGAAAGGGGUAGGUGGCUGCUGAUAAGGACAGAAAGGUUACAGGAGGCCUUAGAGUUUGUUGGCCUUUUACAGGGUUUGGGUUUUACCCUGAGUGAAAAUGAGAAGCCAUUGGAGAGUUUAGACAGACAGUAGGAAGCCCAGAGGUUUCAUUAGUCCAAUAUUAUACCUACAAUCAGGCUUCUGUGUCCUCCCUUGUGGCUGAUUUUUAUUUCUACCAAUUCUUACCUCCAAGAAAUAGUAAUCCUAUCAGGCUUACAGAAGUCCCCUGACCUUGAAUUUGCCCUUAAUUCCAGCACCAGAUAGACUCUCGUGUUCUUUUAACACACUUUGGGAAAUAAUACACACGUACUGACAAAUAUACUUUUAACGAAGAAAUAUCUGAUGGAUGGGCUUUAUAUUUUAUUUGUUUUUCAUAUUGAAUUUAAUAUUGUAAUUUCAUCUUUAAAAAAAUCUGUCUACAUCUGCAAAAUAUUCUUUCAACGAACUUGUGAAUCACCAAAAUUCAAUGAUAGUGAACUGCAUUAUAUUAGGUCCAGGAGUGAGGCCAGCAAUGCUUACAAUUCAUAUCCUGAUUUCUCAUAUUAUCCAUGAAUGUAUUUAAACUCUUUGUUAAAUAAGAAAUGACCCUCCUUUACACUUCUGAGUUUAACAUUCCCUCAAAACGUCUGUCCUCCUCCUUCACUUCUUAUUUUUACUCUCAGAGGUAUAACCAAUUACCCCAUUGCUGGGUAAAGCCAUAUUUAUGUAUUUUUUCUGUUUGAUGGAUUUAAUCUGCUGAAAGAUAAAACACUGGGGAUUUUGUCUCUUCUUCCAUUUCCAUUUCAAACCAGUGUAAGACUGAAAACAAAAGAGUGCCCUGCAGACUUAAACCCUUCCCUGACUGGGCUCUCCCAGGACUGGACUGAGGGUCAUUUUUCUUGAAUAUUAUUUAAACUCUAUCCACCAAGGUCAUCUUGGAAAGCUGACAUUUUGGCCUUUUUUGUCUUUUUGCUCAACUUGUUAGGGAUAUUAAGAGUGGUGAGAAGUGUUUCAAAUCCUAGAUAUUCUUCAUAGAUUAAAAAAUCCUACAUUGGUCUCAAGAUUCAAUAGAUUUGGAACUAUGGUAACUAAAAGGAGGGUUAUCAUUUAAGAAACAAUGAUUUUCCAUUGUUUUCCUGGUAAAUCUUGCAAUCAUUACAGGCUACUACUAAGUGACAAAGUUGCCACGCACUCUAGAAUUCAAGGUGUAGUUCCUUUUGACUGAGCUAGAAGUAGGUAUAUAAUUGUUAAGUCUCUAUUAACAACAACAACAACAAAAUGAUUAGUAUGAAACUCUAUUUACAAUGCAAGCAAAAUAUACCAACAUAGAUCAUUCUACUCUUAAUUGAGGAAAAUUAGAGAACUUAUGCAUAGAUUUUAAUUGUAUAACUAAAUAAAUUUUGUCCAAUGCAUACACUCACAUACGGCAACACCUCAGUGGGGAUAGAGAACACAUUCGUUACCUACGAAGUUUCAGAUCACUUCCACAGAAUACGAUUCUCAAGAGAAUGAGGUAGGGAUAAAGUGGGGGAAAAACCAGUUUAGGAAAUAUCAGAAUAUCCAGUAUUAAACUUGUUUCAAAAAGCAUCGUUUCUUACAAAUAACAUGGGUGGUGAUGGUGGAAAUGUGUUUCCUACCUCUGACUUUGGAGUUUACUUAUAAGAGCGUGUAGUGCUAGUGAAUGAUCUUGGAGUGGAAAAAGUGGGUGAAAAGCCUAGAGUGUUUAAUGAAAUAAGCCCCCAGAAAUAAUAAGGUACUUAUUUCAAUGUUUCUCAAUCAAUACCCAUUUGUGGAAGUAUUAAUCUUAAACACAGCUUCACCCAUUUGUUGACUUGAAGGCAGAGGUCUUCCCCAGGACGUUAAGCCUUAUUGGUAGACCAAACUGCUGGACAGAUGGCGUUUAGCUAAGUGAUCAGGAUGUCUCUCCACGUUAUCUGUUGUCUCUCAUGUGUGGCAUGAGUAAAUAGCUAUCUUUGUGGGUCCUCUUUUCAGAAGAGCCUCUACCACUCGGGAUGCUUAGGAUGUUUUGUUCUCCCCCUCCCUGCCUCUCACCAGCUUUGAGAUAUAACUGACAUAUAACAUUGUGUAAGUUUAAAGUGUACAACAUGAUGAUUUGAUACAGAAUAUUGUGAAAUGGUUAUCACAAAAUUAGCUAACAAUACUUUUUGAACCAAAUUUAAUCCAACUUUAAUUCCAUCAUCUCACAUAAUUAUCAUUUUUGUAUAGGUAUGGCAAGAGCAAUUAAGUUCUAUUUUCUUAGAAACUUGCAAGUGUAUAAUGCAGUGUUGUUAACUCCAGUCACCAUACUAUACCUUAAGACCCUGGAACUUACUCAUCUCAGAAUCAGAAGUCUGUGGCCUUUGACUAACAUCUCCCCUUUUUCCCCAUCUCAGACUCUGGCAACCACCAUUCUACUCUCUGUUUCCAUGAGUUUGGCUUCUUAGAUUCCAGAUGUAAGUGAUAUCAUAUAGUAUUUGCUUUUCCUGUAUGACUUAAUGUCACUUAGCAUAGUGCUGGUAUGUUUGCUUUUACCAUAAGAAAGGAAAUACAAAUUCACUCUUGAAAUUUAACAAACUGCUUUUUCUAGAUAUCAGCUGGAUUUUUCCAGCUAGGAAUAAUUUGGUAUUUUAUUUUUUGCCCAGCUAAAAUGGCUUAGCAUUUUAUUUUAUAAAAAUAAAUGGUGAAAAAAACACUUACAAAACUUCAGAUUGCUUUAGUAAAAUAGCUCUAAAGAUUUUAUGUCUUUGGAAAACAAAAUAAUCAACCAAAACCAAAAUAAAACUCUAACAAAACAUGAAAGUAAAUUAAAUGGCAUUUAAAAUAAUAUAUUAUCAAAAGAAAGAUAAGCAUUAAGGGAAACUUUCUAUAAGUCCUUUAGUACAGAGUGCUAUACUCUGUGAGAUGACGAUGGUGACACAGUCAACAGCAGAACUUAAUUGCUCUCUCCAGUGGCUGUCUCUAAGCUAAACACUUGGCCUCUGUCACCUCAUUGCAUCUUCACCACAACUCUGAGAAACAGGCAUCAUUAUUAUCCCUCCUUUUCAGGUAAGUAACAGAGACUUAGCUAUAUUAAGUAAUGUCUGAGGUGGCCUAAUUGAAAAGUGGCAAACCCAGGGUUCAAAAUUAAACGAUAUGACUCUGAAGACCUUGAACUCAACUCCUGUGGAAACGCUUCUUCAAGUAUGAGCCAUGAACCACUUACAUCAAUGUCAGUGGAAAAUUCAGGGUCUUUGGCCUCACACAAACCCAUCUAUGUUUAUGUCCAACAGUAAUAAUUAAAAUUGACCAAGCUCGCUGUAAUUCCUAAGAUAUAAUUUUAUUGCAUACCCUCUCCUAAAAGUCGAUAUAUAUGCAAAGAUAAAGGAAAAAUACAAAGAAUACUUUUAUCUAUAAAAUCAAUUCUUGGGAAGUUUCCACUGUGACUCAGCAGAAAUGAACCCAACUAGUAUCCAUGAGGAUGCAGGUUCCAUCCUUGGCUUCUCUCUGUGGGUUAAGGAUCCGGCAUUGCCAUGAGCUGUAGUGUGGGUCGCAGACAUGGCUUAGAUACAGUGUUGCUGUGGUAGCUGUAGCUUUGGUUCAACCUCCAGCCUAGAAACCUCCAUAUGCU